GACGAACGCUGGCGGCGUGCUUAACACAUGCAAGUCGAACGGAAAGGCCCUGCUUUUGUGGGGUGCUCGAGUGGCGAACGGGUGAGUAACACGUGAGUAACCUGCCCUUGACUUUGGGAUAACUUCAGGAAACUGGGGCUAAUACCGGAUAGGAGCUCCUGCUGCAUGGGGGGGGUUGGAAAGAUUCGGCGGUUGGGGAUGGACUCGCGGCUUAUCAGCUUGUUGGUGGGGUAGUGGCUUACCAAGGCUUUGACGGGUAGCCGGCCUGAGAGGGUGACCGGCCACAUUGGGACUGAGAUACGGCCCAGACUCCUACGGGAGGCAGCAGUGGGGAAUAUUGCACAAUGGGCGGAAGCCUGAUGCAGCAACGCCGCGUGCGGGAUGACGGCCUUCGGGUUGUAAACCGCUUUCGCCUGUGACGAAGCGUGAGUGACGGUAAUGGGUAAAGAAGCACCGGCUAACUACGUG
rnacentral:rRNA from 1 species